rnacentral:rRNA from 1 species
AACGAACGCUGGCGGCAUGCCUAACACAUGCAAGUCGAACGAGACCUUCGGGUCUAGUUGCGCACGGGUGCGUAACGCGUGGGAACCUUCCCGUAGGUUCGGAAUACCUCCCCGAAAGGGGUGCUAAUACCGGAUAAUGUCCUCGGACCAAAGAUUUAUCGCCUUUGGAUGGGCCCGCGUUCGAUUAGCUAGUUGGUAUGGUAAAAGCCUACCAAGGCGACGAUCCAUAGCUGGUCUGAGAGGAUGAUCAGCCACACUGGGACUGAGACACGGCCCAGACUACUGCGGGAGGGAGCAGUGGGGAAUAUUGGAAAAUGGGCGAAAGCCUGAUCCAGCAAUGCCGCGUGAGUGAUGAAGGCCUUAGGGUUGUAAAGCUCUUUUACCCGGGAUGAUAAUGACAGUACCGGGAGAAUAAGCUCCGGCUAACUCCGUG